AUGGGAUUGCAGUGCUCUAGGGACAGGCGAGACCCGCUCUCCCUGGUCAGCCUUCGGAAGAGGAACCUGGGCUCCGGAGACGAGGGCGUGGCGUCCAGGAUAGACAACUACAACGCCAAGGCCACGCGGCACAUCUCCCUCACCAGGCACUCCCAGUGCCACCCGAUGCCUCCCGGGGAAAGGACCGCGCCUGACACCCCUGGGUCGUGAACAGGCUGAGCUCACUGGUUUCCGACUUGCAAGCUUGGGGUUGAAGUUUAAUAAAAUCGUCCAUUCCUCCGUGACCCGCGCAGUAGAAACCACCGACAUCAUCAGCAAACACCUGCCAGGUGUCUCCACGGUCAGCACCGACCUGCUGAGGGAAGGCGCCCGCAUCGAGCCUGACCCGCCCGAGUCUCACUGGAAGCCGAAGCGGUGCAGUAUUAUGCAGACGGAGCCAGGAUCAGGCCGCCUUCCGGAACUACACCCACCGGGCAGAUGUCAAGCAGCAGGAGGACAGUUACGAGAUCUUCCUAUGCCACGCCAACGUCACCCGCUACAUCGUGUGCAGGGCGCUGCAGUUCCCUCCAGAAGGCUGGCUCCGCCUCUCCCUCCACAAUGGCAGCAUCACCCACCUGGUGGUCCGGCCUGGCGGCUGCGUGGCACUCAGGGCCCUCGGGGACACAGGGUUCAUGCCUCCAGACAAGAUCUCCCGCUCCUGAGCCC